rnacentral:rRNA from 1 species
GAUGAACGCUGGCGGCGUGCCUAAUACAUGCAAGUCGAGCGAACGGACGAGAAGCUUGCUUCUCUGAUGUUAGCGGCGGACGGGUGAGUAACACGUGGAUAACCUACCUAUAAGACUGGGAUAACUUCGGGAAACCGGAGCUAAUACCGGAUAAUAUUUUGAACCGCAUGGUUCAAAAGUGAAAGACGGUCUUGCUGUCACUUAUAGAUGGAUCCGCGCUGCAUUAGCUAGUUGGUAAGGUAACGGCUUACCAAGGCAACGAUGCAUAGCCGACCUGAGAGGGGGAUCGGCCACACUGGAACUGAGACACGGUCCAGACUCCUACGGGAGGCAGCAGUAGGGAAUCUUCCGCAAUGGGCGAAAGCCUGACGGAGCAACGCCGCGUGAGUGAUGAAGGUCUGCGGAUCGUAAAACUCUGUUAUUAGGGAAGAACAUAUGUGUAAGUAACGGUGCACAUCUUGACGGUACCCAAUCAGAAAGCCACGGCUAACUACGU